GACGAACGCUGGCGGCGUGCCUAAUACAUGCAAGUCGAACGCUGAAGGAGGAGCUUGCUCUUCUGGAUGAGUUGCGAACGGGUGAGUAACGCGUAGGUAACCUGCCUGGUAGCGGGGGAUAACUAUUGGAAACGAUAGCUAAUACCGCAUAAGAGUAGAUGUUGCAUGACAUUUACUUAAAAGGUGCAAUUGCAUCACUACCAGAUGGACCUGCGUUGUAUUAGCUAGUUGGUGGGGUAACGGCUUACCAAGGCGACGAUACAUAGCCGACCUGAGAGGGUGAUCGGCCACACUGGGAAGGAGACACGGCCCAGAAGCCUACGGGAGGCAGCAGUAGGGAAACUUCGGGAAUGGACGGAAGGCUGACCGAGGAACGCCGCGGGAGGGAAGAAGGGUGUCGGAUCGUAAAGAUCUGUUGUAAGAGAAGAAAGAGAGUGAGAGUGGAAAGUGCACACUGUGACGGUAUCUUACCAGAAAGGGACGGCUAACUACGUG
rnacentral:rRNA from 1 species